rnacentral:siRNA from 1 species
GUGUGGGUCAGGUACUGUGUCUCA